UAGGGAAUCUUCGGCAAUGGGGGGAACCCUGACCGAGCAACGCCGCGUGAGUGAAGAAGGCUUUCGGAUCGUAAAGCUCUGUUGUUAAGGAAGAACGAGCGUGAGAAUGGAAAGUUCAUGCUGUGACGGUACUUAACCAGAAAGGGACGGCUAACUACGUGCCAGCAGCCGCGGUAAUACGUAGGUCCCGAGCGUUGUCCGGAUUUAUUGGGCGUAAAGCGAGCGCAGGCGGUUAGAAAAGUCUGAAGUGAAAGGCAGUGGCUCAACCAUUGUAGGCUUUGGAAACUGUUUAACUUGAGUGCAGAAGGGGAGGGUGGAAUUCCAUGUGUAGCGGUGAAAUGCGUAGAUAUAUGGAGGAACACCGGUGGCGAAAGCGGCUCUCUGGUCUGUGACUGACGCGGAGGCUCGAAAGCGUGGGGAGCGAACAGG
rnacentral:rRNA from 1 species